GUAAGAAUCCUUACCAUGUCAGUUUCCUGGAUCUCUACCUGCCAAGUCUGGUAGAAAUGAGAAUGGUGAGAGACCUUUCUUUUUCUAAAUUUAGAUUAGCAGGAGAAAAUAUUUGUGGGCUAGUUCCUUGGGCAUAGUGACUCUGGUAAAGAUUUGGUAAUGAGUGCUCCUGUUUUCUAUCGAUACUUUUUCCUCCCAGAGAUGGCCAUUGUUUUCUUUUGUCUACUUUAUGAUCAGUGAGAAUAUUCUCUCUGGUCUCUGCCAGCUGGAGGAUGCAUACGCAUCUGGUGGGCAGCUGAAUAGACUGUGGAUCUGAGUUUAGGGAAUCUGAAAAAAAAGUGAACUUUUGGCUUGGACACAAUUGGAAGCAUUGGUUAUAUUACUAAAGCUUUGACUGGAACGUCAUAUUUGAGAGAGACAUGCAUAGACUCAGAUAUGACCAGGAAGCUUUAAGGAACUAAGUUUGACUUUCUGGAGCCAAUAAAGCCCCUUGGAAAAAUCAGCCUGGUACUUUGCUUACAAGGUUCCCAGUAAUCUUGACAGAAAUGCCUCUUAUUAAAUACUUGAUUGCUUGCAGCAUAAGCCUAACUUUGGAAGCCCACCUGCAUUAUUGCCUCCUGAAAUGAGACACAACUGUUUAACUGAACUGACUUAUUUUCAGGACUAAGAGACUUGUUCAGUGAGAUGGAGCCAUCUACCAACUCAACUUCUAGACUGUGAAACUUCUUGAGGAAGUUUCAAAGAAGGAAAAACCGCAGCCAAAAUGUGCAACUGGGACCUAAUUCCUUAGCAGCAGAGCAGGAGGGUGUUUUGCUGUGUCAGUGGCAAUUUUCCCUGCUGCUUCGUUUGGAACUGCCAGACUUCAUCAGAACAAGUGGCAUCAGAUGCCUUUAGAUGCGGUCCAAUUCACCGGGGUGAAUAAAACAGGCGACUUCUCAUACAGACUUCCUUACCAUUUGUUGUGCUGCUGUGGGUUUGUACCCUACAAACAGGGAAUUCUGAUGCUCCAGGCGAGUGGCACUCCAUGGCUUCAGGCAGGCGGGCAGUCGGAAGAAGCCAGAGCACACGAGGAGUUGAGGCCUGCGCCAUGUCAGGGGCUCGAGCAGGUGGACGAGAGGACACAGUUUCAGGCAAGUGCUGUGGUAAGGAAGAAGCCAGCGGAGAGACUGGCUCACGAUUCCCCUCUUUGAGGUUUCCGCCUCCCAUGGCCGUGGCUGAUUGAUCCAUGGAAAGAUGCCUGACCCAGGCUGGACCAAUCAGAAUCCUUCCCCAGGAUUUUCGAACUGGAGCUAAGGGGAGCCACG
rnacentral:lncRNA from 1 species